rnacentral:rRNA from 1 species
UACCAGCACCCCGAGUGGUCGUGACGAUUAUUGGGCCUAAAGCAUCCGUAGCCGGUCAUGCAAGUCUUCCGUUAAAUCCAGCCGCUCAACGGUUGGGCUGCGGAGGAUACUACGUGGCUAGGAGGCGGGAGAGGCAAGCGGUACUCAGUGGGUAGGGGUAAAAUCCUUUGAUCCAUUGAAGACCACCAGUGGCGAAGGCGGCUUGCCAGAACGCGCUCGACGGUGAGGGAUGAAAGCUGGGGGAGCAAACCGG